ensembl:lncRNA
CCCCCAUAUUGUCAUUUUGGUUGUUGGUAUAACUUAUACCGUAUAAGAGCCAACCAUAAGCAGGCUUAUUGUUCAACUGCAUUCUUUUCCACUGUGAUCAAAUGCAAAUAGAUGCCUCACACUAUUACCUUCUUCUACACAUGGUGCACACUGCCUUAAGGAUUGAAGAUGUCUGUUGCUGUAUCCAUUAGGAGUGUAAUUGUUAUAUUCAUCACUUUGGGAAUUCAUAUUACUAAAGGCCCACAUCUACUCUGUCUAUUCACUAUUAAAAACUUAAAUCAAGAAGAGAAUACAAUGAUCCCGACAAGUCUGGAAAUAAAUCACAAACAGUUAUGAUUGUAUAGUAUUGGUACUGAUUUUAUUUCUGAUUUAUGAAUGUAUAGUUUGUUUCUGAUGUUCAUUUCCCACUUCUCAGCAACCCUUAUAACCCCCCCAACUAAAUGGUUAAUUUAUAGAUUUUCAUAAAUAUGAUUGUUCCAAUUGUCUGACCUACAAAACUGCUCAUGUCACUCACAAUGCUUAAACAAUGCUUCACAAAAACGGUAACAGCACAUAAGAAAUUACUAUACAACAAGUUCACAUAUAAAGUCCUAAGACGCAAAGGCUGGAAAUCUGCAUACAAAAGUUGCCAAAUUAAAAAAGGAUCAGUUACAAUCCAGUAGAAAAGGACACACAUAUGCUCAUAUUAUGACAUUAAGACAAACCAAAAUAUUUCUGCAGGCUGAUCAAACUUCACAAAAAGUACAUUACUGGACAUGUUCAGGACUUAGCUCUUGUCUUUGAUAAAUAAAACCAUCGGUCCUCCUUGAUAAAUGCACUAUACACGUUGGCAAGCCUCAUCCUCGUUAUCUAACCGUAACUCUACAUCAUCUUUUAAAGUUGAAAUUGUGUAUGAACUAAUCCUGUGAUUGAUGAUGUUUUUGUGUAAAUACUGACUAUCAUGAGGGCGUUUCCGAUGCUAUUCCAAGGAAAACACCACAACAAGCUUCAGUAAGCGAGAGACGUCGAGAGACACCAUGUUAUGCACUCGUCAGCUACUGGGGGAUGGUUGGUGCUAUGCUGCUGUCAGCACUCCUACUCUACAGACCUGGGCUAGCUCACCAGUCUGGGCUAACACAUCAGUCUGGGCUAACACAUCAGUCUGUAGCAGGCAGCGGUGAACGCACCUUAUUCUCCAGAGUGCAAAAGGCACUGUAAAGAAUGGAACAGCCCAAAAGGAGUCACGAUUUACAGAGACGCUACAUGACAAUUUCCAACUUAGCUGCCUUGAAAUGUUUAAGUACCACACAAGUCAAACUGUUUGUCAGUGCUGACUAUGAUACAAGCUAAUAAGCUCCCCAAAUGAAACAAAUAUAUACAUUGAUGAUAAGUAAAUAAGGCAGAUGUAAUGAUUUACAAAUGUACAGCGCAUGUAAUCCUUAAGCCUCCACUCUAGGGUGAGCCACAUUAUUUUUGACAUGGUGUUGUUUGGUGAUAGGCCCCCCCCCUCUCUAUUGAUGAAGCCUGCUAUCUGUUGACCUAGCAGAGCAAUCCUCACCGCCAUCUAGUGUUAUCACAAACAGAUCAGGUCAGAGCUACAUGCCCACCCACACUAUCCACCCUGCAAAAAAAAAGAACAAAAAUAAUACAAAUGGGGAAAAAAAAAAAAAACUGAACAGAGUUAAAUCAGUUGAAAAACAGCAAACGUAUUAGCAGACUUAAACCACAGUUAGGCUCAAGGUUCUAAACACAUUUAGUUAGUCAGCUCAUUCCAAAAGCUUACCACGUGACUGGCCCGAGCAGACGGCCCCCAACUGAAUCAGCACAUACAGAGCACUUUGCUUGACGGAAUAAAAACAAAACAGGACCAACCACACUGGCAAGACGGAUUUCACAAACUCUGCUUCCUCGUACGCAGUUAAAAGCAAACGGCCAAUAUUGGCAUAAAAAUAAGCUAAUGCACUGCUGCCUAGUUUGAGGCCGGCUAUGAACCUGCCUCCCUUUAGAGGCCAGCUAUGAACCAGCCUCCCUUUAGAGGCCAGCUAUGAACCUGCCUCCAUUCAGAGGCCAGCUAUGAACCAGCCUCCCUUUAGAGGCCGGCUAUGAACCUGCCUCCAUUCAGAGGCCAGCUAUGAACCAGCCUCCAUUCAGAGGCCAGCUAUGAACCUGCC